CCCUUAGAUGUUCUGGGCCGCACGCGCGCUACACUGAUGCAUUCAACGAGUCUAAAACCUGCUCUGAUAGGGGUGGGUAAUCUUUUGUAUGUGCAUCGUGAUUGGGAUAGAUGAUUGCAAUUUUUCAUCUUCAACGAGGAAUGCCUAGUAAACGCAAGUCAUCAGCUUGCAUUGAUUACGUCCCUGCCCUUUGUACACACCGCCCGUCGCUCCUACCGAUUGAAUGAUCCGAUGAAUAUCAUGGAUUGAGGAUGCAAGCAGGUUCGCCUGUCUUCAUCUUCGAGAAGUGAAGUAAAUCUUAUCAUUUAGAGGAAGGAGAAGUCGUAACA
rnacentral:rRNA from 1 species